rnacentral:misc_RNA from 1 species
UGCGGCUGGAUCCCCUCCUUUCUGGAGCCGCGAGUAAGCCUUCGGGCCGAAAGCGCUUCUAGAGUCGCCCGUACUUCACACCUCGAUCUGUCAGCAGCAGGCAGUCAGCAGUCGGCAGUUACUGCCAUCUGCGCGCUGCCGUCUGCUCUUGGCUCUUUGACAACUGACGAGUGAGUGGUGUGUGUGGUGUUUGAGGAAUCACACCGAAGAACUAUGAGAUCAAGCGCGUAAGGGCGCACGGUGGAUGCCUUGGCACAGGGAGGCGAUGAAGGACGUGGUAAGCUGCGAUAAGCCUGGGGGAGCUGCAAACAAGCUGUGAUCCCAGGAUCUCCGAAUGGGGAAACCCGG